UGGGGAAUAUUGCGCAAUGGAGGCAACUCUGACGCAGCCAUGCCGCGUGUGUGAAGAAGGCCCUCGGGUUGUAAAGCACUUUCAAUUGGGAGAAAAAGCUUGUCGUUAAUAGCGGCAAGCCUUGAUGUUACCUUUUAGAAGAAGCACCGGCUAACUCCGUGCCAGCAGCCGCGGUAAUACGGAGGGUGCGAGCGUUAAUCGGAAUUACUGGGCGUAAAGCGCGCGUAGGCGGUUGCUUAAGUCGGAUGUGAAAGCCCCGGGCUCAACCUGGGAACUGCAUUCGAUACUGGGCGACUAGAGUACGAGAGAGGGAGGUAGAAUUCCACGUGUAGCGGUGAAAUGCGUAGAUAUGUGGAGGAAUACCGGUGGCGAAGGCGGCCUCCUGGCUCGAUACUGACGCUGAGGUGCGAAAAGCGUGGGGAGCAAAACAGGAUUAGAUACCCUGGUAGUCCACGCCGUAAACGAUGAAUGCCAGUCGUCGGGUAGCAUGCUAUCGGUGACACACCUAACGGAUUAAGCAUUCCGCCU
rnacentral:rRNA from 1 species